UAUUGGGUAGGUGAAAAACAAGUAUGGAUUUAAAGUGGGGAAUAUUGGCAAAUCAAAGCUGAAAUUUAAUUAUCUUCUAUUUUUGUGAUUUUAUAUUAAUACCUCACUUCCAUUGCUUUAAAUCCACACUUGUUUUUCACCCACCCAAUA